GUGAAGAAUGUCCAGACAGUACAGGGGAGGGAUCUGAUCAGGUAGUCAUGUUUACAUUUUAAUGCAUUUACAGUGAUAUUACAUAUUAUCCUUUAACAGUAUUUGUUUACAAUGUUUCUAUGUGCAGGACAUACCUGAUGUAAAUUGGAACGAUGAGUACACCCAACCUGGCGACAAUGUUUAUGCAGUAGAUACGGAUUUCUUCAGAGAGGACGUUAUUGGCCCAUAUUUUAUCCCUGAGGAGUCACAACAACCAUACGCCUACAAUUACGCAUCAGGUUCGCAACAAGGAUUACAGACUCCACCACCUAUGCAAGAGUCGUAGACACAGGAAGACCAACUGAAGUACGGUCGCGGUCUUUGUGUACCUCGACCACCUAAUCGCUUGGAGCUUUCCGGCCCGAAGGGAAGGCCAGGUGGCCGUCGUCGACUACAAUGAUUCAUCUAUGCGCGACCCAUUGUAUCUACAUAUGUUUGUAUCAGACUUUUCGAUUUGAACAUCUCUGUAUGCUGAAAUAAAA
rnacentral:lncRNA from 1 species